rnacentral:rRNA from 1 species
GAGUGGCGCGUGCUAUACAUGCAGUCGAGCGGAGUUUUGAAAAGCUUGCUUUUCAAAACUUAGCGGCGGACGGGUGAGUAACACGUGGGCAACCUGCCCUUGAGACGGGGAUAACUCCGGGAAACCGGAGCUAAUACCGGAUAACACAUAUCUUCGCAUGAGGAUAUGUUAGAAGGUGGCUUUUAGCUACCACUCAAGGAUGGGCCCGCGGCGCAUUAGCUAGUUGGUGAGGUAACGGCUCACCAAGGCGACGAUGCGUAGCCGACCUGAGAGGGUGAUCGGCCACACUGGGACUGAGACACGGCCCAGACUCCUACGGGAGGCAGCAGUAGGGAAUCUUCCGCAAUGGACGAAAGUCUGACGGAGCAACGCCGCGUGAGUGAUGAAGGUUUUCGGAUCGUAAAGCUCUGUUGUUAGGGAAGAACAAGUACCUGUUGAAUAAGCAGGUACCUUGACGGUACCUAACCAGAAAGCCACGGAUAACUACGUGCCAGCAGCCGCGGUAAUACGUAGGUGGCAAGCGUUGUCCGGAAUUAUUGGGCGUAAAGCGCGCGCAGGCGGUUCCUUAAGUCUGAUGUGAAAGCCCACGGCUCAACCGUGGAGGGUCAUUGGAAACUGGGGAACUUGAGUGCAGAAGAGGAGAGCGGAAUUCCACGUGUAGCGGUGAAAUGCGUAGAGAUGUGGAGGAACACCAGUGGCGAAGGCGGCUCUCUGGUCUGUAACUGACGCUGAGGCGCGAAAGCGUGGGGAGCGAACAGGAUUAGAUACCCUGGUAGUCCACGCCGUAAACGAUGAGUGCUAAGUGUUAGAGGGUUUCCGCCCUUUAGUGCUGCAGCAAACGCAUUAAGCACUCCGCCUGGGGAGUACGGUCGCAAGACUGAAACUCAAAGGAAUUGACGGGACCCGCACAAGCGGUGGAGCAUGUGGUUUAAUUCGAAGCAACGCGAAGAACCUUACCAGGUCUUGACAUCCUCUGCUACUUCUAGAGAUAGAAGGUUCCCUUCGGGACAGAGUGACAGUGUGCAUGUUGUCGUCAGCUCGUGUCGUGAGAAUGUUGGGUAAGUCCCGCCAACGAGCGCACCCUGAUCUUAGUGCCAGCAUUAAUGGGCACUUCUAAAGUGACUGCCGGUGACAACCGAGAAGGUGACGUCAAUCAUCAUGCCUUAUGACUGGCUACAAC